UGCAUCGCGCAGUCGGAAGAAUAAUGUUUACAUUUUGGUGUAGACGAUAUUUACCGAGUUUAUGUCUUCCUUCGCGAUUUGUUUGGUUAUCAAAUUAUGCUAUUCAUUGCAAAAAUUUUAUAAUGAAAUCUUAAAUAUGAUAAAAUAAUUUAUCUUAUUGUGUUGUCAUAGUAAUAAAAAUCUAAAAAUGGGUGGUUAUGUGAGUAAAAUUGCGUGGAUGUCAAAUGUCGCAGUUAAUUCUGUUUACCGCGGACGAAAAAGAAAGUGUAUUGAAGAAGAUAAUUGUGAUUCAGAAUCUGAUUUCAUCGAUAAAACGCUACAAACACCAAAAAAAAGAAAAUUACUGACGACUGCACAAUAUAUAUACAAAACUCUGUUUCAAGAAGAAAAAGGAAGUGAUAUAACGGUCUCUAUGUUAGGAAGACCAUGGAAAUUGCACAAAGUUUAUAUAAGUCAAAGCCCAUAUUUCGCUAGUAUGUUUUCUGGAUCAUGGAAAGAAACAAAUGAGAAGUUUGUUAGUGUAGAAAUUACUGAUCCUAACAUAACAACAGAAUCUCUAUCAAUUGUUUUGGGAUCAUUUUAUCAAGAUGAGGUGAGCAUAGAGCCAAAAGACGUCAUAUCAAUCUUAGCCACAUCCACAUUAUUCCAGUUACAAGGUUUAAUUGACCAAUGCACAGAAAUAAUGAUUGAAACGACAAACAUUAAAACUGUCGUUCCUUACUACAAUGCAGCAGUGUGCUACGGAGUUCCUAGUGUAAAAGCAGCUGCAAAAAGGUGGCUAGAAGUUAAUUUAUUAGGAUACGGAUGGCGAUAUCCUUCUUUUCUUAAAGAAAUAACUCCAGAACUGAUGGUUGAAUUGAUAGAAAGUCCAGAAUUGGUUGCUAUGCAGACUGAAUUUUGCACAUACAUGAUGCUAAGAGAAUGGCUUUUCAUUCACAUACAAAAUAAAGAAGAUACUGGAGAAGUAGACGAAUAUUUUAAAAAACACUCAUGGACUGAACCACUGCUUGACACACCUUUAGGAAAACAAUACGCAGGACCAUUUAAAGCUUUACGAAUGAAAUAUUUAUUACUUCAUGAUCAAGAUGUUAAAAUUUUAUACAGUGAUAAUUUAAUUCCCUCUGAAUGGCUUCAUGAUGCUUAUAGAGAACAGUGGCUACAUUUACUCCGAAUUGAUGCUAACAAAGACCGUGGACCAAGAAAAAUGACCGAAGAGGAAUUUGCUAAAGAGUGCUUUAGGUGCGGACGAUGUGUAGAAAAACCCGGAGAUCAUUUGUGGAGAUGGACGGCAUUUCAUUUUGGAUUGGAUUUAGUUGUUUAUCUUGAUAUCACUUCACUGAGAAUACGAAGAAAUCAUCGGAUUGAUGUAGAUCACAUUACUGCAAAUCAUAGUAAACGUAACAUAAUAAUCAAAAUAUCUCUAAUUUCAUUAGACGAACAAAGACAAAUUAAACAUUGCCAAAAUUCAGGAGUGCUCAGACUUUCUUUACAUAAAAAUGAAGAGAAACAAGUUAUGUCUUUAGACAAACAAUUGACUUACCCGCUGUAUAUAUCAGUCAAUAUGCAAGUGGUAACGCCCUUCUCUGUACCAGAAGAAGAUAAAUCGACAGUUGUAACGACAAAUCCGUAGUCAAUAAAACCAGGAUUUCCAAUCAAGCUCAAAUUAUUGUCAUGAGUGCGAUAGUGCUGGAAACACGUAUUCACCAUGGUUUCAUUGCUAUUCUAGUCUUGAAAGUCACAGAGAAACUGUUAUGGUAGAAUUGACCGAAUAAAAAAAGAAACGAGAGUCAAAAAUUCAUCAAGAGGUCAAAUAAAAAAAUGCAUUCCGGCAGAAAUUAAAAAAGCGUGUCAUAAUAUUAAGGGUAAGGGAAAAUAAUAAUUAAUAUAAAUACUUACUAUAAUCUUACUACAAGUAUGUGCCUUCAAAAAUAUUGACAUAAGAAAAUUUUGUAUCUGCAGCUGAAUAAUUUGAAUUUGGUAAACGGCCUUUUUAUGCAUUUUGAGAUGUAUUUCACUUAUUUUUUUUUUUAUUAUUUCUACCAUUAUAAUGAAUGUACAUUAUCGCGGUUGUGUACUUUAUGAUGAAUAUUUGUUGUAACUAAUAGAGAUGCUAUUAUUGUUAAGCCUCAUUCUUUCCAGUUCAAUGGAAACAAAGUUUAAACAGCCAGUUAUUUUGAUUGUAAUAUACAAUAUUUUUUCAAGCUUCCUCAGGGCUGUGACUUUGUAUUUUGUACCUGUCAUUGAUGUAUAAUUAGUAUGCAACAAUAAACUUGUCAUACAGUCUGGUGGAA
rnacentral:misc_RNA from 1 species